rnacentral:rRNA from 1 species
GAUGAACGCUGGCGGCGUGCUUAACACAUGCAAGUCGAACGAAGAACUUUAGUUGAUUUCGUGCGGGACUGAGUAGUUUGUGACUGAAUGGCGGACGGGUGAGUAACGCGUGGGUAACCUGACUUGUACAGGGGGGGGAUAGUUGGGAAUGGGUGCUCAUGCCGCAUAAUCGCACGGCGAAGCAUGAGGCGGUGGGGGAAGGUCCGGUGGUAUAUGAUGGAGUCGCGGUGGGUUAGCUUGUUGGUGUGGUAGUGGGGUACCAAGGCGUUGAACGAUAGCGGGCCUUAGAGGAUGACCGGCCACCUUGGGUCUGAGAUACGGCCCAGCCUCCUACGGGAGGGAGCAGUGGGGAAUAUUAUACAGUGGGCGGGAGCAUGCUGCAGCAACGCCGCGUGCGGGAUGACGGCAUUCGGGUUGUAAACAGCUUUCGCCUGUGACGAAGCGUGAGUGACGGUACUGGGUAUAGAAGCACCGGCUAACUCCGUG